rnacentral:lncRNA from 1 species
UUUUUUGUUUAUGUUAAAGUCAUAUGAAACGAGUGAGUGGUGAAAAAUAAUGUUUGUCCAAUUCUUGAACCAAUGCAUGUAUACAACAUAAACUUAGUCCUCUGUGCACGAUUUUAUCAUUAUUUUCGCAAAUAUAUCAUAUAAUCGUCAAUUUUUUCUCUGUCUGUUAUGAUCUAACAAAUAUGGCUGCUCAUUAAAUGCCGUGUUUUGAAGCCGAGUUUUACCGAUUGUCACUUUAUAGUAAACAAAUCACAAAAAGCAUGGGUAUUGAGCACGUGUUUAACAUGUAUAAUCAGAUAUUUGUUUAUUUUAAUGACAGAUUCAUGCGUAUUGUGGUCACCAGAUUUUUACGAGGAGGGUUACGCUGGGGUCACUAUGCAUACGGAAAAUAUGUCGGCGAAUUGCUUGCUGGAAGCAAUCAAUUAAAAAUAAGUAAACUUCU